AGUGAAUAGAUACCCGGGUAGUCCUUGCCGUAAACGAUGUAUACUUGAUGUAGCUGGACUCAAACCCCAGCUGUGUCGGAGCUAACGCGAUAAGUAUACCGCCUGGGGAGUACGCUCGCAAGGGUGAAACUCAAAAGAAUUGACGGGGGACCCGCACAAGCAGUGGAGCAUGUGGUUUAAUUCGAUGCAACGCGAAGAACCUUACCCAGACUUGACAUACAGUGGAAGUUAGUAGAGAUAUUAACGCCCUUCGGGCCGCUGAACAGGUGCUGCAUGGCUGUCGUCAGCUCGUGCCGUGAGGUGUUGGGUUAAGUCCCGCAACGAGCGCAACCCUUAUCGUUAGUUGCCAACAGGUUAUGCUGGGAACUCUAGCGAGACUGCCUGGGGUUAACCAGGAGGAAGGUGAGGAUGACGUCAAGUCCGCAUGGCCCUUAUGUCUGGGGCUACACACGUGCUACAAUGGUCGGUACAGAGGGCAGCGAAACCGCGAGGCGAAGCAAAUCCCACAAAGCCGGCCCAGUUCAGAUUGUA
rnacentral:rRNA from 1 species